GAUGAAAACGUGUUUUCUCUCUCUUCAAGAGCAUUUGUUGCGUUGGUUCAUGCGCUGCAGAGGAAGAGUAAAAACCUUUCCUUCACAGGACUGAGCGGCCUUCCUUUUAAGAGGUUGUGUAGUGACAGUCUCCAGAAAUAUGGCAGUAAGGUCUUCUUUAAAACAUGUAAUACUAAAUCAGUACAUUUCAUUUUGAAGCAUAGAGUUCUGCAAAAGAUAGAUCAGAACAUAGGCACCCUGGCUGUGGGAGCAGGCUGUGGUCAGAGAUGUUGGAAGCACACAACAGCCUGCCUUUGGUACGUCAUUCUCAUUUCUGAGAACGUACUGGGAACCCCUCAAACUAGAGCCUGUGUUGGCAUUACUGGUUUUGCAGGUACUGUUGGGCAUGCUUUCAAAGAGUUUCCCUCCUUCCAUUUGGGGUCCAUCUGUACGUUAGGUCUUAGUGCUACGGCGAUAGGGAGCUUCAAAAUCUACCUUUUUUCUUACUUCCUUCUGUUUGUUUUAGCCAGCUGCAUAACGCUGAUUUGCUUGCAUAUCUCGUUUUAUGAGAAAUAAUAAAUAUUCAUUUCCCACUCGCUUUCCCUGUAUUAUUCAUGAUUUUAUAGCUUUCUGUAAUAGUUCUUCUCAGUCAUUAAUUUCUUGAGAAAUGCCUCUCUUGGGAGGCUAGCACAGUGCCAUGAAGCCAGGGAGAGAUGUCUGCCUCACCCAGCAGGUAGGGCACGGUGCAGACAUCCAUUUCCAUUGGGUCCAGGGAACAGAUGGUCGAGCAACACGUCUGCGGGGAGCCAUUAAAAAUGUAAAUUACUACCUGGGACAUUAUUUGUCCCACAUACAGUGAGCAAGAUAAUCAGAAGUACAUAUACCUCAUUAGGAAGACUUGUUACUUGCAAAUGUUAACAUCAUUAGAGUCCUCGGAGUAGCGCAAUAUUUUUAAUGUCUAAGAAAAAGAAAUCUCUCAUCUUCCUUAAUAUAUUAGCUCAUUGAUUUUUCUCAGGUAUUGCGUAUCCCAGGAAGUUUUGUAAAUCUCAGGUAAAUAUUUUCAGCCUUGGAUAGAUUUUUUUCAACAAGCAAAAUUCUUUUGGAAUGUUCUCCCCAAGAUAAAUGGCUAAAUGCAGUGUAUUUUUAUUCAAAGCCUAGAAGGUCAGCCUCCUAUCAUCUACUAUAAGAAAAUACAACUAAUUUUCAAAGAAAAUCGUACUGAGCGUGACUGAAAGGUUGAAAUAUGGCAGAAUCAGAAAUAUUUGUGUUGUGUAGCCUCAGUAUGUUGAAUGCCACAUCUGGUGAAGUUUUCAUGCAAUAGUUGUUUUUCCUAUACUGGUUAGCAGCUGAUACGAGAUGUAAUGGAAAGGUGAUCAACAUGCAAUUUUACUGCAGUGUUAAGUGAGUUAAGAUCCCAACACCUGAUCUUGUUAAUAGCAAACAUUUUUUUAUUUCCAUAGAUAAAAUAGAUAGACUAAUGUAUAUUUUGCACAAGUCUUGCUGAGGUGCAACACAAGGAAAUAGAGCCAGCAUCAUCAAAAUGUAGGUUCCGGUCAGAGAGAGAAACAAAACAAGUAUUAAGAAAGAUCAGACUCUGGGAAUACCUCCUCUAGAGGUCAUAUGGAAUUUUUUUUCAUUCCUGUCUAUCACCUUGUCACUUAACAGCAUCCUUCCCUUUGCUCGUAGUUGUUUAGGUCUGUACUGGUUAGAACUGGGGUUUAAUUUGUCAUAGAAGUAGUCAUUUGGCUCUAGGAAUGAAAGCAAGCUUUUCAUUUGCUGCUAAUGCAUUUACUUCUCAUACGUUCAGGUCAUUGGGUUAUUUUGUUGUGUAGAACAAAUCAAACAUUUUGGGUGGUUGGUUGUUUUGUUUUGUUUUGUUUUUUUAUAUUUCAGAAUAACGCAGUCAGCUGAUGGCUUAAGGAUGUUAGGAUUCAUAAGGCUGUAGGCUAGAAUAAAGACUUUCAGUCUUUUGAUAUGCA
rnacentral:lncRNA from 1 species